GAACUUCAUUUGGGGGUUGACUACGUUUCAUCGCUGUGGCUGUGACACUUUGGUUGGAUAAUAAUGUCUUGUUCAGCGUUGGGUUGCACGGCAAGACACUCAAAGGAAUCGGCAGUUCAGUUUUUCCGACUUCCUUUUGAUGAGGCCAGGCUGAAGCAAUGGUUGGUGAACAUGAGGAGAGAGAGACCAGCAAAUGGAACCACGAAAAGUCACGUCUGCAGUUCACACUUUGAGGAAGAUCAGUUUUUUAGAGACAAGCAGGUAUCCACACUGAAAACUGAAUGAGCAGAGCCUCCAGAAGGAAGACCUGUUGUAUAGAGCCUCCAGAAGGAAGACCUGUUGUGUAGAGCGGCGUAUUUAGUGC